rnacentral:rRNA from 2 species
UCCGAAUGGGGAAACCCACUGCUUCGGCAGUAUCCUGCAGUGAAUUCAUAGCUGCUGGAAGCGAACCCGGUGAACUGAAAUAUCUAAGUAACCGGAGGAAAAGAAAUCAACCGAGAUUCCCUAAGUAGUGACGAGCGAACGGGGAGCAGCCCUUAAGCUGGAAUGGCUUUAGAAAAACAAUCUGGAAAGAUUGGCCAUAGAAGGUGAUAGCCCUGUAUUUAAAAGGGCCACUCCAGUGAAGACGAGUAGGGCGGGGCACGUGAAACCCUGUCUGAAUAUGGGGGGACCAUCCUCCAAGGCUAAAUACUCCUGACCGACCGAUAGUGAACCAGUACCGUGAGGGAAAGGCGAAAAGAACCCCGGAGAGGGGAGUGAAAUAGAUCCUGAAACCGUGUGCGUACAAGCAGUAGGAGCUCGCAAGAGUGACUGCGUACCUUUUGUAUAAUGGGUCAGCGACUUACUGUUCGUGGCAAGCUUAACCGUAUAGGGGAGGCGAAGGGAAACCGAGUCUGAUAAGGGCGCAUAGUCGCGGGCAGUAGACCCGAAACCGGGUGAUCUAGUCAUGGCCAGGGUGAAGGUGCCGUAACAGGUACUGGAGGCCCGAACCCACGUCUGUUGCAAAAGACGGGGAUGAGCUGUGAUUAGGAGUGAAAAGCUAAUCGAACCCGGAGAUAGCUGGUUCUCCUCGAAAGCUAUUUAGGUAGCGCCUCAUAUGUAUCCUCUCGGGGGUAGAGCACUGUUAUGGCUAGGGGGUCAUCGCGACUUACCAAACCAUUGCAAACUCCGAAUACCGAGACGGACUGUAUGGGAGACACACGGCGGGUGCUAACGUCCGUCGUGAAAAGGGAAACAACCCAGACCCACAGCUAAGGUCCCAAAUUCACUGCUAAGUGGAAAACGAUGUGGAAAGGCAUAGACAGCCAGGAGGUUGGCUUAGAAGCAGCCACCCUUUAAAGAAAGCGUAAUAGCUCACUGGUCGAGUCGGUCUGCGCGGAAGAUUUAACGGGGCUAAGCAGUGAACCGAAGCUUGGGGUGCAUAAAACUUGUUUUAUGCGCGGUAGAGGAGCGUUCCGUAAGCCUGCGAAGGUGGAUUGAGAAGUCUGCUGGAGGUAUCGGAAGUGCGAAUGCUGACAUGAGUAACGAUAAUGCGGGUGAAAAGCCCGCACGCCGAAAGCCCAAGGUUUCCUUGCGCAACGUUAAUCGACGCAGGGUUAGUCGGUCCCUAAGGCGAGGGCGAAAGCCGUAGUCGAUGGGAAGCAGGUUAAUAUUCCUGCACCUCGCGUGAGUGCGAUGGAGGGACGGAGAAGGUUAGGUGUACCGGGCGUUGGUUGUCCCGGGGAAAGGCGGUAGGUUUGGAUCUUUGGCAAAUCCGGGAUCCUUUAAGACCGAGCACCGAGACGAGCCUUUAUGGCGAAGUCACUGAUACCACGCUUCCAGGAAAAGCUCCUAAGCUUCAGCUCACGAAGACCGUACCGUAAACCGACACAGGUGGGUAGGAUGAGAAUUCUCAGGCGCUUGAGAGAACUCGGGUGAAGGAACUAGGCAACAUGGCACCGUAACUUCGGGAGAAGGUGCACCCUUUUUGGUGGCUCGUGCGAGCUAUAGCUGAAGAGGGUCGCAGAAACCAGGCCGCUGCGACUGUUUAUCAAAAACACAGCACUCUGCAAACACGAAAGUGGACGUAUAGGGUGUGACGCCUGCCCGGUGCUGGAAGGUUAAUUGAUGGGGUCAGCCGCAAGGCGAAGCUCUUGAUCGAAGCCCCAGUAAACGGCGGCCGUAACUAUAACGGUCCUAAGGUAGCGAAAUUCCUUGUCGGGUAAGUUCCGACCUGCACGAAUGGCGUAACGACAGCGGCGCUGUCUCCACCCGAGACUCAGUGAAAUUGAAAUCGCUGUGAAGAUGCAGCGUUCCCGUGGCAAGACGGAAAGACCCCGUGAACCUUUACUAUAGCUUUACACUGAACGUUGAGUUCGUCUGUGUAGGAUAGGUGGGAGGCUAUGAAACUGUGGCGCUAGCUGCAGUGGAGCCAUCCUUGAAAUACCACCCUGUCGUGCUUGACGUUCUAACCUAGGUCCGUUAUCCGGAUCAGGGACCGUGUAUGGUGGGUAGUUUGACUGGGGCGGUCUCCUCCUAAAGAGUAACGGAGGAGCACGAAGGUACGCUCAGCGCGGUCGGACAUCGCGCACUGUGUGCAAAGGCAUAAGCGUGCUUGACUGCAAGAUCGACGGAUCAAGCAGGUACGAAAGUAGGUCUUAGUGAUCCGGUGGUUCUGUAUGGAAGGGCCAUCGCUCAACGGAUAAAAGGUACUCCGGGGAUAACAGGCUGAUACCGCCCAAGAGUUCAUAUCGACGGCGGUGUUUGGCACCUCGAUGUCGGCUCAUCACAUCCUGGGGCUGUAGUCGGUCCCAAGGGUAUGGCUGUUCGCCAUUUAAAGUGGUACGCGAGCUGGGUUCAGAACGUCGUGAGACAGUUCGGUCCCUAUCUGCCAUGGGCGUUGGAAGUUUGAGAGGGGCUGCUCCUAGUACGAGAGGACCGGAGUGGACGAACCUCUGGUGUUCCGGUUGUCACGCCAGUGGCAUUGCCGGGUAGCUAUGUUCGGAAGCGAUAACCGCUGAAAGCAUCUAAGCGGGAAGCGCGCCUCAAGAUGAGACUUCCCGGGGCACAAGCCCCCUAAAGGAACCAUGUAGACUACGUGGUUGAUAGGUCAGGUGUGU